UCUAACCAUUACCCCAAAUUAAGACCAAAUUGCACAUUUUGGUUUUCAUAUAUUUAUACGAUAUGGCCAAUUCUGACUUUGCCGCAGGCCAUCUACUAGCUAGUGGAUGACAUUCUAAUUCAGGCUCCAUACCAAAGAUUUGUUAUAUCUGUUCCGAUACCGGCAUAUCCAAAAUGGCUACCGCCGUUCCAGUUGAUUCGGGAUUGACUGCUCCGACAGACAUUAGGACUCUGUUCUGGAGGAGAGCCUUGCAGAGAGGGUCCAGUGCGUCUCGGAAAAUGGCAUCUCCAGAG